rnacentral:misc_RNA from 1 species
GCCCCGGUUGUACUUUCCCUUGCAAUUGUUAGCAUUUUCUGGUGUGAGGCAGUAGUUAUUAGCUUCGCCACAAGGAAAAACUGGUUGACUCUUUAAAGGCUUGCCACCAACUAGAGGAGUAGCAUCAGUAAGCAUUCGACUAAACUCGGAGUCCAUCAUGAACUCAAAAUCCAUGUUGGUAUCCCCUACGGAGAAGUGGUUGUCAUCCGUCAUCUUUUGAACACUAGCUCUGCAAUGGCUUAUGCUCAGCAGAAUCAACCCCACCAUUGCUGCUACUAUAGAGAAAAGCUUCAUUCUGCUUCUUCCUUCCCCUUAAUUUCU